rnacentral:tRNA from 1 species
GGAUUGUGGCUCAGAGGUAGAGUGCUCACCUAACAUGCCUGAGGCACUGGGUUCAAUCCUCAGCACCA